AUACCCAGGUAUGAAACUAAUGAAUGAAAACUAAAGAUUCAAUCAAAGAUAGUGAAAAACAGCACUGAAAUACACAAUUGCGACAAAACGUUUGCAUGGAUUGCAAUAAUGGGGCCAUCUUUUCCAUGCUAUGCUUUGCUGAUCCGGAACAGAAUGAUAACCAGAGGCAACGAAUCGAGCAAACAUCGAUUCCAUACCAGCCUAACACGGACGGAUGGGUACGAUGGUGGCUCGGGCAGAAAUUAAACAUAGAAGAUGGACAAACUCAUACCAUCUGGAGCUUCAAUGAAAAAGGGACCAACAAAUGCCAUACACAUCAAAUUUGUUGCCAUCGUUUUCGUUGCACUGUACUGCGUUCUCGAAUGCACACGACGCUGGAAGUUGAUAGACGUAAAACAACUGAAUUUACGAGGAUAAUCUCUUCUGGACUGCAGGUGUGGUAUUCGAGGAACGAGCGUCCAAAUAGCCAGCGUUCACCUACAUGAAGACUUUGUCAUAUGAUGAGAUUCGUUGGUGGUUGAGCCAAAACGUUCUUUCUGUAGGAGAAGUAGUUAUUUAAUCAGAUAGCACAAACUAG